UACGUAGGGACCGAGCGUUGUCCGGAUUCAUUGGGCGUAAAGAGCUCGUAGGCGGCUGCUCAAGUCGAAUGUGAAAACUCGAGGCUCAACCUCGAGCCUGCAUUCGAUACUGGGCGGCUAGAGUCUGGUAGGGGGAUCUGGAAUUCCUGGUGUAGCGGUGGAAUGCGCAGAUAUCAGGAGGAACACCGGUGGCGAAGGCGGCGACCUGGUCCUAUACUGACACUCAUACACGAAAGCGUGGGGAUCAAACAGG
rnacentral:rRNA from 1 species